AUUGAACGCUGGCGGCAUGCCUUACACAUGCAAGUCGAACGGCAGCACGGGAGCUUGCUCCUGGUGGCGAGUGGCGAACGGGUGAGUAAUACAUCGGAACGUACCCUGAAGUGGGGGAUAACGUAGCGAAAGUUACGCUAAUACCGCAUAUUCUGUGAGCAGGAAAGAGGGGGAUCGCAAGACCUCUUGCUUUAGGAGCGGCCGAUGUCGGAUUAGCUAGUUGGUGAGGUAAAGGCUCACCAAGGCGACGAUCCGUAGCGGGUCUGAGAGGAUGAUCCGCCACACUGGGACUGAGACACGGCCCAGACUCCUACGGGAGGCAGCAGUGGGGAAUUUUGGACAAUGGGCGCAAGCCUGAUCCAGCCAUGCCGCGUGAGUGAAGAAGGCCUCGGGUUGUAAAGGCUACUUUCGGUUCGGGGUAAGGAAAGUACG
rnacentral:rRNA from 1 species